rnacentral:tRNA from 1 species
AGAAAUAUGUCUGACAAAAGAGUUACUUUGAUAGAGUAAAUAAU